CGGUUAAGUAAAGUAAGAGCGCAUAGUGGAUGCCUUGGCGAAAGCCGCAAGAAGAAGGACGUGCUAAGCUGCGAUAAUCCACGGGGAGGUGCAAAGAACCUUUGAUCCGUGGGACUCCGAAUGGGGAAACCCAUCCUGAUGAGAAUCAGGAUACAGUACGAUGAAUUCAUAGUCGUAUUGAUAUAACCCAGGGAAUUGAAACAUCUUAGUACCUGGAGGAAUAGAAAUCAAUUGAGAUUGCGUUAGUAGUGGCGAGCGAACGCGCAACAGCCUAAACCUUUUUUGAGUAAUCAGAAAAGGGGUUGCAGGAUCCAUCUCCAUUUAAUUGGGAUGAGUGAUCAACCAAAUUCUUAAUCGAAGAGCCUGGAAAGGCUCACCAUAGAAGGUGACAGUCCUGUAGGUGAAAAGAAUUUGGCUUAUGAUGGACACCUAAGUACCGUCGGACACGUGGUAUCCGGCGGGAAUCCGGGGGGCCCACCCCCCAAGGCUAAAUACGAGCUUUCGACCGAUAGUGUACUAGUACCGUGAGGGAAAGGCGAAAAGAACCCGGAAACGGGAGUGAAAUAGAACCUGAAACUGUGCGUUUACAAGCUGUGGAAGACCUAUGGUUUCCGAUUUAUCGGAGACAAUGGUCAACUGCGUGCCUGUUGAAGAAUGAUCCGGCGAGUUGAUGAGUCGAGCAAGGUUAACCUUGAUGUGCAAGCAUCCUGGGAGCCGAAGCGAAAGCAAGUCCGAAAGGGCGAUACAGUUCGAUUUAUCAGACCCGAAACCAAGUGAUCUAACCCUGUCCAGAGUGAAGUCUCGGUAAUACGAGAUGGAGGCUCGGAGUGUUGAAUGUUGAAAAAUUCCUACAUGAGGUGGGGUUAGGGGCGAAAGGCCAAUCUAACUUGGAGAUAGCUGGUUCUCCCCGAAAUAGUUUUAGGACUAGCCUUGUGAGUCUAAGCAAAGAGGUAGAGCACUGGAUAAUGUAGGACCUGCAACCCAGGUUCCGAAUUUAACCAAACUCCGAAUUCUUUGCCCAUUGUCACAGGAGUCAGUACAUCGAGGAUAAGCCCGGUGUGCAAGAGGGAAACAGCCCAGACCGUCGAUCUAGGUCCCAAAAUUCAUGCUAAGUGGUAAAGGAUGUGAGAAUACUAAGACAUCUAGGAGGUUGGCUUAGAAGCAGCCACCCUUUAAAGAGUGCGUAACAGCUCACUGGCUAAGUGUUCUUGCGCCGAAAACAACUCGGGGCUCAAGCAUGAUACCGCAAUCACGGCUUUAAUAAUAGAUUCGUCUAUUGUUAAGGGGUAGGGGAGCGUUCAAAGUGCCAUAAAGGCAUACCGUAAGGAGUGCUGGAGCGCUUUGAAGUGAGGAUGUCGGAAUAAGUAGCGAUAACACCGGUGAGAAUCCGGUGCGCCGUAAACCUAAGGUUUCCUUGAGCAAUGUUCGUCAGCUCAGGGUUAGUCGGCCCUAAGUCGAGGCCGAAAGGCGUAGAUGAAGGACAACAGGUUAAUAUUCCUGUACUUGGAUAAUUGCGUUUGCACCUAAGGGGGGACGCGUAGAGUAAGGUCAGCCUACGAUUGGAUGUGUAGGUUGAUUGUUUUUUGGGUCUUGGGCAGGUAAAUCCACCCGGGAGUUAUCUCGAGAAACAAAAGCGACCUUUGAGAAAUCAGAGGGAAGUGACCAGACCUUUGCGCCAAGAAAAUCCUCGUAGGGAGUGAUUAUUCAAACCGUACCGCAAACCGACACAGGUAGGUGGGGUGAAAAUCCUAAGGCGCGCGAGCGAACUCUCGUUAAGGAACUAGGCAAAAUUGUCCCGUAACUUCGGAAGAAGGGAUACCCCUGAUUUAUCAGGGGCCGCAGUGAAAGGGCUCUCGCGACUGUUUAACAAAAACACAGGUCUCUGCUGAAAUCACAAGAUGAUGUAUAGGGACUGACUCCUGCCCGGUGCUGGAAGGUCAAGGGGAGAGGUUAGUGGGGCGCAAGCCUUGCGAAGCUUUGAACUUAAGCCCCAGUAAACGGCGGCCGUAACUAUAACGGUCCUAAGGUAGCGAAAUUCCUUGUCGGGUAAGUUCCGACCUGCACGAAUGGAGUAACGAAGAGAGCGCUGUCUCAACGAGAGGCUCGGCGAAAUUGAGGUAGAAGUGAAGACGCUUUUUAACCACGGUUAGACGAAAAGACCCCGUGGAGCUUUACUGUAUCUUAACAUUGAAUGAUGGAAUCGGAUGCGUAGAAUAGGUGGGACCCUUUGAAGUCCUGGUUUUGGCUGGGGCAGAGGGAACAGUGAAAUACCACCCUUUUAAUUCUGCCGUUCUAACAAGGUUCUUUAUAUCAAGACCUUGGACAUUGUUAAGUGGGCAGUUUGACUGGGGCGGUCGCCUCGACCGCCAAUUAUAAAUUAAGGGGCUUUCGCGUGGUAACACGCGAAUCCACAUCUGGCUGUAUGCUGGAACAUCCGUUUGUUAAUGUAUUUUUGGAUCUCCGUUCAGAAAUCAUAGACAAUGCAGAAUCUAGAGAGACUCAUCCUAAUCUAAAAGUUAGGGUAGUAAAAAAUCUUCUAGUGCGGACAAUCAGCAGGGAAGUCGUUCCAACUUAGGUUGGGAUUGACCCCUCAACGACUAUACGCCGGAAUCCCAACUUUAGUUGGGAUAUGAUAUAGUCUGAUCUUCGCAGCAAUGCGAAGUCCCAAAAGAAAUUUGGGAUCCAAGUCAACUAAAAACAAUGAACUCCCGAAAAAUAGAAACAAUGAAGGCAUCCUUAAAAUUAUCUGACACCCAGUGCGAAACACUGAUCGGAUUGUUGUUAGGAGAUGCGCAUCUUGAAACGCAAAAUUAUGGAAGAACAUACAGAUUGAAAUUUGAAUAUUCUUCUGAACAAUAUGAAUAUGCAAAACAUUUGUAUGAACUUUUUAAAGAUUGGGUGUUAACUCAACCUCAACUGAAGCAAGAUAUUUCUCAUAACAAUAUUUGGUUUCAGACGGUGAGUCAUCCAGCGUUUCGGUUUUAUGCUCAGCAGUUUUACACUGAGCGAAAAAAAUGUGUGCCUAAAAUAAUUCAUAAAUUAUUAACUGCGCGCAGCAUCGCAUAUUGGUUUAUGGAUGAUGGUUCUAUUAAAUCUCGAGAUUCUAAAGGGAUAUUAUUUAAUACUCAUUGUUUUUUAAGGAGUGAUGUAAAGCGAUUGAUUAAUGUUUUGCGUUUACAAUUUGCUCUUUUAGCAAAGGAACGAAAACAAAAGGAUGGAUGGCAAAUCUACAUUUCAGGAAAGUCCUAUGAAAGAUUUCGUGAGAUUGUUGAUCCCUAUAUUCUUUUAUCAAUGCGUUACAAAAUUCCAGUUGAAAGGAAACAAAAAUGCCUAAAUGGUAACGGAGGCGUUCAAAGGUCGGCUCAAUCCGAAUAGAAAUCGGACUAGCGAGAGCAAGUUCAGAAGCCGGCUUAACUGCAAGGGAGACAUCCCGAGCAGGUGCGAAAGCAGGAACUAGUGAUCUGCUGGUAGAAUGUGGCAUUGCCAGCACUCAACGGAUAAAAGCUACCCCGGGGAUAACAGGCUUAUUUGGUCCAAGAGUUCAUAUCGACGACCAAGUUUGGCACCUUAACAUAUUGGGGUGCUGCAGAAGUGAUUCUGUACUAAAAAUUCGGCUUAUAACGGUGGAACCCGAUCUUGUUGUUUUUUAUAAUUGAAUAUAACAGGAGGGCAAUACCGUGGGAAGUCUAACAUCAGUACAACAUGCAGUUUUAGUGGGAAGUCUGCUAGGGGAUGGAACCCUUCGAAAACAAGGUACAAGAACAAAUGCUUUGUUUGAAGUGAAUCAUUCCUUUAGAUCGCAAGAUUAUGUAGAUUGGAAGUGGAAGCACUUUCAUGAAUAUGUAAUCACUCCACCUAAAUCUCGCAAAGGCAAAGGUAAUCGAAUAGCCUAUCGGUUCACAACGAGAAGUCUCCCAAUCUUUACGAACUACUAUUGUUGGUUUUAUAAGGAUGGAAAAAAAUCAAUUCCUUCAAAUCUUGAAAUAAAUCCAAUCGCGCUAGCGGUUUGGUUUAUGGAUGAUGGAGCAAGGAGCAGAAAUUCUAUCUACUUAAAUACACAGCAAUUUAGUUUGAAAGAACAAGAGUUCUUGAUAAGUUUGCUCUAUAAGACAUUUCAAAUAGAGUGUCGUUUGAAUCGAGACAAAUCUUACUAUAGAUUACGCGUAAAUACUCAAAGCACAAUAAAAAUGAAGCAGAUUAUACUUCCUCAUGUGCUAGGGUGUUUUAAAUAUAAACUGAUGGAUGACCCUGUAACGACUGAUCCGAAAGGAAAGAGCUUAUUAUUUUAGAUAAGCUAACACGCCGACUCCCAUACCUUCAAAGUAAUUGAAGGAGAUCUCGUGGAUAUGGUUUCGACCUAAAUCUAGAGUAUGGGAUGAAGAUAUAGUCUGCACCAUAAGAAAUUAUGGAUUAUUGUACGAUGUCGGCUCAUCACAUCCUCCCGCUGAAGUAGGUGGGAAGGGUUUGGCUGUUCGCCAAUUAAAGUGGUACGUGAGCUGGGUUCAGUACGUCGUGAGACAGUAAACAAAACCUGCUGUCUAUAAACUUAGCUAUAUGCGGGAAACUCCUUUAAGCUUAGAUAACUUAGAGGACAAUCCGCAGGUAACCUGCCUUUUUGGCAGGGAACCUCAGAGACUAUACGCUAAGAUUUCCAGAAAAUUGGAGAUAAGAUAUAGUCCGAACUGCAUGGUAACAUGCAGAUCUUAGUAGAAAUACUAAGGCGCCCGGAAGGGUUAGUAAUCCAAUUUUUUAAGAUUGGAUGAAGUAACAGAAUUGACGGUCUCUAUCUACCGUGGUCGUAGGAAUCUUGAAGGGAGCUAUCCAUAGUACGAGAGGACCUGGAUGGACGAACCUCUGUUGUACCAGUUGUCCUGCCAAGGGCAUCGCUGGGUAAUCAUGUUCGGCAGCGAUAAACGCUGAAAGCAUCUAAGUGUGAAACGCACCCUAAGAUAAGGAUUCCCGUGGUCGCAAGACCCCUAAAGGCUCGGAGAAGAUAACUCCGUUGAUAGGGUGAAUGUGGAAGCGUAGUAAUACGUGGAGCUAAUCACUACUAAUCAGCCGUGUGUCUUAACC
rnacentral:rRNA from 1 species